AGAUUGAACGCUGGCGGCAUGCCUUACACAUGCAAGUCGAACGGCAGCACGGGAGCAAUCCUGGUGGCGAGUGGCGAACGGGUGAGUAAUACAUCGGAACGUGCCCAAUAGUGGGGGAUAGCCCGGCGAAAGCCGGAUUAAUACCGCAUACGACCUGAGGGUGAAAGCAGGGGAUCGCAAGACCUUGCGCUAUUGGAGCGGCCGAUGUCAGAUUAGCUAGUUGGUGGGGUAAAGGCCUACCAAAGCAACGAUCUGUAGUUGGUCUGAGAGGACGACCAGCCACACUGGGACUGAGACACGGCCCAGACUCCUACGGGAGGCAGCAGUGGGGAAUUUUGGACAAUGGGGGCAACCCUGAUCCAGCAAUGCCGCGUGCAGGAAGAAGGCCUUCGGGUUGUAAACUGCUUUUGUCAGGGAAGAAAUCUUCUGGGCUAAUACCUCGGGAGGAUGACGGUACCUGAAGAAUAAGCACCGGCUAACUACGUGCCAGCAGCCGCGGUAAUACGUAGGGUGCGAGCGUUAAUCGGAAUUACUGGGCGUAAAGCGUGCGCAGGCGGCUUUGCAAGACAGAUGUGAAAUCCCCGGGCUUAACCUGGGAACUGCAUUUGUGACUGCAAGGCUAGAGUACGGUAGAGGGGGAUGGAAUUCCGCGUGUAGCAGUGAAAUGCGUAGAUAUGCGGAGGAACACCGAUGGCGAAGGCAAUCCCCUGGACCUGUACUGACGCUCAUGCACGAAAGCGUGGGGAGCAAACAGGAUUAGAUACCCUGGUAGUCCACGCCCUAAACGAUGUCAACUGGUUGUUGGGAAGGUUCCUUCUCAGUAACGUAGCUACGCGUGAAGUUGACC
rnacentral:rRNA from 1 species